rnacentral:rRNA from 1 species
UACGUAGGGGGCAAGCGUUAUCCGGAUUCACUGGGCGUAAAGGGAGCGCAGGCGGCAUGGCAAGUCUGAUGUGAAAACCCGGGGCCCAACCCAGGGAGUGCAUUGGAAACUGCCAGGCUGGAGUGUCGGAGGGGUAAGCGGAAUUCCUAGUGUAGCGGUGAAAUGCGUAGAUAUUAGGAGGAACACCAGUGGCGAAGGCGGCUUACUGGACGACUACUGACGCUGAGGCUCGAAAGCGUGGGGAGCAAACAGG